UCCGGUGGCUAUACCGGAGGGGAAACACCCGUUCCCAUCCCGAACACGGAAGUUAAGCCCUCCAGGGCCGAUGGUACUUGGGGGUCGACCCCCGGGAGAGUAGGUCGCUGCCGGAA
rnacentral:rRNA from 1 species